UACAGAGGAGCCAAGCGUUGUCCGGAUUGACUGGGCGUAAAGCGCACGCAGGCGGAUGCGCGCGUGGGGUGUGAAAUCUGGCCGCUUAACGGCCAGGCGCCAUCCCAUACGGCGCGUCUGGAGUGAUGCAGAGGUCGGUGGAAUUGCCCGGUGUAGUGGUGAAAUGCGUAGAGAUCGUAAGGAAGACCAGUGGCGAAGGCGAAGUUUCUGGGACAGUAACUGACGCUGAGGCACGAA
rnacentral:rRNA from 1 species